UACGAAGGGGGCUAGCGUUGCUCGGAAUCACUGGGCGUAAAGGGUGCGUAGGCGGGUCUUUUAAGUCAGAGGUGAAAUCCUGGAGCUCAACUCCAGAACUGCCUCUGAUACUGGGAAUCUUGAGUCCGGGAGAGGUGAGUGGAACUGCGAGUGUAGAGGUGAAAUUCGUAGAUAUUCGCAAGAACACCAGUGGCGAAGGCGGCUCACUGGCCCGGUACUGACGCUGAGGUGCGAAAGCGUGGGGAGCAAACA
rnacentral:rRNA from 1 species